UAAAGUUCAAGUGGGAUUAGAUACCCCACUAUGCCCAACCGUAAAACCAAUCUACACCACACACGCCAGGGUAUUACGAGCCAAGCUUAAAACCCAAAGGACUUGACGGUGCCCCAGCCAACUAGAGGAGCCUGUCCUAAAAUCGAUAAUCCCCGUUCAACCUUACCACUUCUUGCUUGAUUCAGUUAGUAUACUUCCGUCGUAAGCUUGCCAUUUGAGUGACUCAUAGCAGGCCCAAUGAUAUUCCAUAAAUACGUCAGGUCAAGGUGCAGCAUAAGAAGUGGGCUGAGAUGGGCUACAAUUUCUAAUUUAGAACACACGGAACAUUGAAUGAAACACAGAUGUGAAGGUGGAUCUAGUAGUAAAAAGAAAAUAAAGUGUUCUUUUUAAUAAUGGCACUGGGACGCGUACAAACCGCCCGUCACCCUCCUCGAUAGACUAUAAUAGAUAAAUAACAUAAACCCCACAAUCAGAGGAGGCAAGUCGUAACAUGGUAAGUGUACCGGAAGGUGCACUUGGAUAGCAAAAAGUAGCUUAUUACAAAGCCUCUCGCUUACACCGAGAAGAUGUCUGCUAAACCAGGCCAUUUUGAGCUAACUGUCAAGCCUACAAAUCAACGUAUAAACCUAACUUCAACCAAUGUAAAAUAAAACAUUUUAUUGCUUAAGUAAAGGCGAUUGAAAAACCACUAAGAGCUUCAACUUUAGUACCGCAAGGGAAAGAUGAAAUAUAAGUGAAAUAAAAUAAAGCACAGAAUAGUAGAGAUUAAAACUCGUACCUUUUGCAUCAUGGUCUAGCAAGUCAUUAUCAAGCAUAGAGACACUCAAGUUUGAUUUCCCGAAACUAGGCGAGCUACUUCAAAAUAGCACUUAGAGCCAACCCGUCUCUGUUGCAAAAGAGUGGGAGAAUUUUCAAGUAGUGGUGACAAGCCUAUCGAGCCUAGAGAUAGCUGGUUAUUCAAGAAAAGAAUUUUAGUUCUACCUUAAGUUUUUAUAUGAAUAUAAACAUAAUAACACACUUAAGAGCUACUCAAAUAAGGCACAGCUUAUUUGAAAAAGGGUACAGCCUAAACUUUAGGGUAAAAUACUAAAAACUUAACAAAGUAGGCCUAAAAGCAGCCAUCUUUCAAAAAGCGUUAAAGCUUUAUUUUUAAUCUUUAAAAUUCAAUUUAGCAUUAUUAACCCAUCAUCAGUAUUGAAUAAACUCAUAAAUUAUGAAAAAUAUUAUGCUAGAACUAGUAACAAGAAAAUGAAUUUCUCCAAAGUGUAAACAUAAACCAAAAUGGACAACCCAUUGGUGAUUAACGACUUUGUACUUACUAUAGUAAAACAACUAGAAAACUCUAUAUUUUAGUGCCGUUAACCUUACACAAGAACUCUUCUGGAAAGAUUAAAAGGAAGAGAAGGAACUCGGCAAAUUUUAACCCCGCCUGUUUACCAAAAACAUCGCCUUUUGCACAAAUAUAAAAGGUCCAGCCUGCCCAGUGUUUUUAAUCAACGGCCGCGUGAUUUAAGCGCGCUAAGGUAGCAUAAUAAUUUGUUCUUUAAAUGAGGACUUGUAUCAACGGCAUCACGAGGGUUAUACUGUCUCCUCUCCCCAAUCAGUGAAACUAAUCUCCCUGUGAAAAAGCAGGGAUAAAAUUAUAAGACGAGAAGACCCCAUGGAGCUUAAAAUACAGCAGCAACUAUAAUAGUAAUAUCAAUACAAUUUUUAGCCAUGUGUGCUAAUUUUAGGUUGGGGUGACCAUGGAGCAAAAUAAAACCUCCACGACGAAAAGAGUAUACACCCUUAUCCAAGAGAUACUCCUCUAAGAAUUAUUAAAAUAACGUCUAAUGAUCCGACUAUCGACCAACGGACCAAGUUACCCUGGGGAUAACAGCGCAAUCCACUCUGAAAGCUCCUAUCGACGAGUGGGCUUACGACCUCGAUGUUGGAUCAGGAUAUCCCAGUGGUGCAGCCGCUACUAAAGGUUUGUUUGUUCAACAAUU
rnacentral:misc_RNA from 1 species